UACGAAGGGGGCAAGCGUUGUUCGGAAUCACUGGGCGUAAAGCGCGCGUAGGCGGGCAUGAAAGUUAGGGGUGAAAUCCCGGGGCUUAACUCCGGAACUGCCUUUAAUACUAUGUGUCUAGAGUUUGAGUGAGGUGAGUAGAAUUCCGGGUGUAGAGGUGAAAUUCUUAGAUAUUCGGAGGAAUUCCGAUGGCGAAGGCGGCUCACUGGCUCGAAACUGACGCUGAGGUGCGACAGUGUGGGUAGCAAACAGG
rnacentral:rRNA from 1 species